rnacentral:rRNA from 1 species
GAGUUUGAUUAUGGCUCAGGAUGAACGCUGGCGGCGUGCCUAACACAUGCAAGUCGAGCGCGGUUGUGCUUAGUAUUGAGUGUUUUAUUGAUAUAAAACAUUGAAUUCUAUGCACAACUGAGCGGCGGACGGGUGAGUAACGCGUGGGUAACCUGCCCUAUACACAUGGAUAACAUACUGAAAAGUUUACUAAUACAUGAUAAAAUAGUUUUUCGGCAUCGAAGAAUUAUCAAAGUGUUAGCGGUAUAGGAUGGACCCGCGUCUGAUUAGCUAGUUGGUGAGAUAACUGCCCACCAAGGCGACGAUCAGUAGCCGACCUGAGAGGGUGAUCGGCCACAUUGGAACUGAGACACGGUCCAAACUCCUACGGGAGGCAGCAGUGGGGAAUAUUGCACAAUGGGCGCAAGCCUGAUGCAGCAACGCCGCGUGAACGAUGAAGGUCCUCGGAUCGUAAAGUUCUGUUGCAGGGGAAGAUAAUGACG